rnacentral:rRNA from 1 species
CACACUGUAAACGAUGAAUGCUAGGUGUAGGAGGUAUCGACCCCUUCUGUGCCGCAGUAAACACAGUAAGCAUUCCGCCUGGGGAGUACGGUCGCAAGAUUAAAACUCAAAGGAAUUGACGGGGGCCCGCACAAGCAGCGGAGCAUGUGGUUUAAUUCGAAGCAACGCGAAGAACCUUACCAGGUCUUGACAUCCAGUUAAACUUGUAGAGAUAUGAGGUCCCUUCGGGGGAACUGAGACAGGUGG